rnacentral:lncRNA from 8 species
AUGGAUAACUCUCCUGAAGUGAACCAGGAGCAGGGAGACAUACCAAUGAUCCCAUUGGUCCAUGAGCCCAUGUCAGGGGAUGAGAUGCAGAGAACCCAGAACCAGGUGAACAACUUGCAGCAGUCAAUGAACCACAUGCAUGAGCAGCUGAAUUCCAUGCAGAGGCAGUUUAUUGAGUUGCAGAGUGCCCUCUCUCAGCUCCUUGAUGACAACAUGCCUGUGGCACCUGAAGCGGAAGGGUUCCAACCGAAAAACAUCACCCCUGCACAGUGGGACGGAAUCCUCCCGAUAGGAAUCAUCCAGAGGGAGGAUCCCAACAAGAACCAAUCAUUCCAACAAGGCAUCAUCCCAAUAAAAAACAAUGGAAUGGAACAGAUGGAAUGGCAUGGACCACCUCCACCUCCCAUCAUCCCCAUAGUGGGAUGCUGGGAUGCUGGAGUCAAUGCUCCACGUUGUGGAAAUUUCUAUGCCAGGAGAAAGGAUAUCCGGAGUAGAUAUGUGGCGGAUCCUGCUUUAAUGACCAUCACCAAGCCAGAACACUCCGAGGCCAAUCCUCAGAGCCAGGCUGGCAGUUGGCCGGUGGCUAAACCUCAGCGCCCAGCACCCCCAGUACAGAAAAGACCAAACAGUGGAGGCUGGCUCAGGUGGUUCUUCGGUGAAAAGGAAGAAGUUCCUCAGAUGACAAGGAUACUAGAUGAUACUAGAUGUUAACAGGCAGAAACUUGGCCCAGGCACUCUACCCUUUUGAGGUCGUUUUCCAGGAGGGAUCAUUUGAUAUUUCAGCAUUUUAAAAUACAAAAAAAAAAAAUUGAUUUCAGCAUAGAAAAGUUAUUAAAAGACUCUCUGUAUGUUCACGUAGCUUUGAUAUGUUUUCUGGCAUCCUUUACAAGCCCAUCGCUUGUGCAUUUCUCCAUGUUACAUACUUUACAGAUGGGUGUAUUAUUUAUACAUAUAUUUUCAAAAUAUAUUAAAGGAAUUGAUCUAUUUCAUAAACAUAAUAUCAAAUGUAAAUAAAGUGCAUUUUAAAUUUAACACCAUAUAUUUCAAUAUAUUACUUUACUGCAGGCCUGGCGUUGUGGGUGGGCCUUAGGGAGCCAUGCUCGCCCUACCGCACCUCCUAGCCCUACCGCACCUCCUAGCCCGUCCAAAUAAAAUGCAUGGUUGAAUGAAACUUUGCAUGACUAAUAUUUUUGAUGUUGUUGCUAUAACACUAAUGUAUGAUAUUUGACCAUUUAAAGUUUUAAUUACCGCAAAACAUUUUUUCUUGUUAAAAUAAAUAUGGCUCAAGAAAUUCUGACUGACAGGGAUUUAGACCUAUCAUAAAUGCAUCAUGAAGCUCAUUUCUCUUUUUGAUGAGUCAAAUUAGUAGUGGGUGGAGCGUUAUGUAAACAGCCUUGUGAUCGUUCGGAAUGUCAUGUUCAAGAGUAGGCUACCUUAACUUGUUUUCUUCAUCGUGGUCAAAAUGGAAAUUAGAAAUUGGUUUGCUAAAAAUAAUGCCUCAUCUGCUGCAACAAGUAGUCUUAAAACAUCUGGCCACAACACAGCAAUGAUAUGGAAUAAUUUACACUUUAUUGAUAUGACAUGGACAUUCUCAACGGAUUCCUUCGUAUAGAGUGCAUUCGGAAAGUAUUCAGACCCAUUGACUUUUUCCAAAGAAAUUUACGUUACAGCCUUUUUCUAAAAUGGAUUACAUAGUUUUUUCCCCCUCAUCAAUCUACACACAAUACCCCAUAAUGACAAAGCAAAAACAGGUUUUUCGAAAUUUUGGCAAAUUUAUAUUUAAAAAACCCCUGAAAUAUCACAUUUACAUAAGUAUUCAGACCCUUUACUCUGUACUUUGUUGAAGCAACUUUGGCAGAAAGUCCGGUCUCUGGCCACUGUUCUUGGGGACCUUCAAUGCUGCAGAAAUGUUUUGGUACCCUUCCCCAGAUCUUUGCCUUGACACAAUCAUGUCUCGGAGAUCUACGGACAAUUCCUUCGACCUCACAGCUUGGUUUUUGCUCUGACAUUCACUGUCAACUGUGGGACCUUAUAUAAACAGGUGUGUGCCUUUCCAAAUCAUUUCCAAUCAAUUGAAUUUACCACAGGUCGACUCCAAGUUGUAGAAAUAUCUCAAGGUCGAUAUUUCAGUUUUUUAUUUUUAAUACAUUUGCAAUACAUUUAAAAAGCCUUUUUUCGCUUUGUCAUUAUGGGGUAUUGAGUAUAGAUUGAUGGGGGAAACAAAUGUAUUUAAUACAUUUUAGAAUAAGACUGUAAUGUAACAAAAUGUGGAAAAAGUCAAGGGUCUGAAUACUUUCCGGAUGCUCUGUAUGUUGAAAUAAGGUGAUCUUUGUAUUUAAAGCAGUUGUUUUUUGUGUUAUUAUUAUUGUAGAUUUUUGUGUUAUUAUUGUUGUAGUUUGGAAGCAAUGAAUUUGAUCGUAUAGGCUUAUUUGAUAAGAAUUUGUUAAACUAUAAUUUUACACAAGCGGUGGUGAUCUGUUCAAAAUAACCAUAAUGUGACUACUUCACAAAUGGUAUAGAGCGCACAAGUUGGUUAAGAAAAUUUACCGAAAAAUGUGUUAUAGCCUAUAAUUUAAGAGUGAUUAUUGUAAUUGUAUUGUUAUAUUCCAUUUUGGAUGCCUCCCAAUCUACUUAAUUACUGUCAUGAAUUCAUCUUUCCUUGCUCUGCAAAUGCGAUCAAAGAUUUGCAUUAGCCUAUUAUAAAGGUGAUUUAAGCAGCUGCGAUGAGUGUUAGUAAAAGCAUUUGAAUUUAAUUUAGAUUUCAGUGUGGUUCCUAUGUCGUGUAGGUACUAGGCCAUGCAUGAUACAAAUAUACGGAACUGUCCAUUGUGCUGAAGUUAGAGAUCAAUGUACCGGUAAUGCCGAAGCCGAUCUGCAGCAAGCCACGUCAACACGUGGAACGUGGACAUGGGUAGGCUUAUGCAUGUUGUGCAUUUUAUUACGGGUUUGAAAUGCUCUAUAACAAUUGGAAUUCCAACCCCACCCAUUGUAUAAAUUGAAGUUUUACAUCUCAACAAAGUAAGCUGUUGGCACUUGGCACAUCCCUGAAAAAAAUACGUGCCCCCCCUUGGAAAUCAAAUGCCCGUCCAAAUGAUUCAUUCUGGGUCCGGGCCUGCUUUACUGUAUGGGUGUGAUGAGUAAACUGAGACCUGAAGGCUCAGUGGGAUAACAGCCUUGAAUUGUGCAAAUCUGCUUCGAAUCCUGCUGCUUCACACUGCUCCUCUAAGCAAUAGAUGCUUUUUUUCCCAAGUUCUCCGUUUUGUAGGACUGUAAUUGGUUGGUAACUGAUGUUAUUGCAGACCUAACGGCGUUGUUCCACUGAGAUCCCAGGAAACCAAUCUUACUUUCUCCAGAAUGGGUCUUACCUUAUUCAGUUUAUCCGUGUGGUUCAUUCGAUUGCACUGUGAGCUUUCACGGAAAGGCCCCUAUAGCCGUUUGCUGGCAUCGACAGCAUGAGAUGGGUUAGUGAUGUCAUAUUGACUUCCAGGUCUAUACCAUCAUGGCUUUCACAAGAUCACCUGUUAUUGACACCCACAGCAAAGUGAAGAAACACACAUUCAUAAGAUCCAAUUCAAAUUUGAAGCCCAAAGAAAAGAAACAGGUGAACAAUUCUCUGAAAGACUGCCGCAAACAAGCUAAAAUCAAUGGUUGCAUUGCCAGUGUUUUUUCAAAGAAUGGAGAAAGCAGGAUUUUUGUUGAUAAGACACUUAGCCCUAGAGAUGAGAGGGAAAGUGUCCUAGUAGUGUUCACUGACAAAAUAUGAUCUAUCUCGGGAGGAAUAGCAUUAUCUGCUCUUGAGUGAGAGGAUACAGUGGUGAGGAUGAUUGCUUUUGUGUCUCAGGGUUGGAGAUUUAUCUUAUCUAUCACACGAUGUUUCUCGAAAUCAUAAACAACUUCAACUCAGAGAUGUUUGGCUCCCAAAUAACACCCGCCUUUGUUAGGGUGGUCAUUAGGUCAGACAGACAGACAGACAGACCUUAGACCUUAUCGUCUGAGGACCAACAAGGAUCGCCCAGCCACAUAAUAAUACACACAGGCACAAACGACCUGAGACCACAGCAGGAAAGGGUGGGCACAGCAGGAAAGGGAGUGAUUGAAAAAGCUUCUUCUACCUUCCCCAACGCACAAGUGGUUAUCUCCACCCUGCUACCACAAAAGUACUUCCACCCUGCUACCAUAAAACGGGUAAACGUAAAUACUUCCAGUGACUAGUGCCUAUAAACCGAAUGUUUACCUGGCCCACCACUCCACCCUGGACUUGAACAGCCUUUACGACCAGGCCCCUAAAACCCUCACAAACUUUUACAGAUGCACAAUUGAGAGCAUCCUGUCAGGCUGUAUCACCGCCAGGUACGGCAACUGCACCGCCCGCAACCAGAGGGCUCUCCAUAGGAAAGUGUGAUCUGCCCAACGCAUCACCUGGGACAAACUACCUGCCCUCCAGGACACCUACAGCGCCCGAUGUCACAGGAAGGCCAAAAAGAUCAUCAAGGACAUCAACCACCCGAGCCACGGCCUAUUCACCCCGUUAUCAUCCAGAAGGUGAGGUCAGUACAGGUGGAUCAAAGCUGGGACCGAGAGACUGAAAAACAGCUUCUAUCUCAAGCCAUCAGACUUGGUGUGGUGACUGUUAAAUAGCUAUCACUAGCCGGCUUCCACCUGGUUACGCAACCCUGCACCUAUAUACAUAGACUUGGAAUCACUGGCCACUUUCAUAAUGGAACACUAGUCAAUUUAAUAAUGUUUACAUACUGCUUUACUCAUCUCAUAUGUAUAUGCUGUAUUUUAGGGUCUGAAUACUUAUGUAAAUGUCAUAUUUCAGUUUUUUCUUAAAUAAAUUAGCAACAAUUUCUAAAAACCUGUUUUUGCUUUGUCAUUAUGUGGUAUUGUGUGUGUAUUGAUUAGGGUAAAAACGAUUUAAUCAAUUUUAGAAUAAGGCUGUAACCUAACAAAAUGUGGAAAAAAUGACAAACCGCCUGAAUACUUUCCGAAGGCACUGUAUAUUCCCAUACUUUAAUGAAGACAGCUCUCCAUCCUAGAGGGGGAGAUCAAUUAUUUCCAGCUCCAGGGACAUGUACUCGUCUGUGGUGACCUAAAUGCUAGAACUGGACAAGAACCUGACACCCUCAGCACACAGGGGGACAAACAGCUACCUGGAGGUGACAGCAUUCCC